ACGGUGGGAAUGUUGAAUAGUUUGCUAUCCAUGUUAUCUUCUGUUAGUCGGAAACGAAGCGAAUUAGUAAUUGGUUAGUGUAGCAAGUACAGUGAGCGUGCAAAGGAACAGAAUAAUACAGUUGAUCUAUCCCGUGAUGCCAAACGAUUGAAAAUCCUAGCAAUCUAAUAUCAACGGCUCAUUCGGACGGCUCGUCUACGGGAUUUGAUUCCCUGCUUGGGAAUGACGAAAACGUCUAACAGGGAACAGAUUGUAGCCAAAGUAUUGUGUAGUAACCGAUAAGGAAAACGGAGACCUUAUCAUCUGGUAGCUUUAUCGUAGCGAAGUUUUGAUCCAGCGGUCAGAGCAUCCGUAUAAACGAACCAAACGAACAAGAGGGAGUGAUUUAUCUAGAAUUUGAUGCCUUGAAAAUGUAUGUGGCUAAGAUGUGGAUGUGACGGCGCUCGUGAAACAUAUCAGUCCGACGUUGGGCCGUUUGGCGAUUGAAGAGGUCUCCAACUGGCCUUAACAGUGAUCAGUAGAUUUUCGGCAAAUUCCCAACUUAGGGCCUUAUUCUAAAGACAGAAUUAAGAUCGCAAAAAGUGUAUGUAAUUAUCGUACAUUUUUAAAUAUUCAAUAUAUCUAUCUCUUAAAAAUGUUAUAAGCUCACGGAACGCAACGGCCACUUGCACACCCCUGACACAAUCGGCACUCCGUGCUAGACGGACAGGUUCUAGAUCGAGGGCACGAGAGCUUCCAGCAUAAUAUGUGCCAUGAGCAGAACCGAAACGUCCUUCGUUCAUUCAGCAUGAACAUCGUUUGUAGCUGCUGCUCGAACGUGAACUUUUUCGGUGGAGAAAACACAUUCGGCUGAACACACAAUGGCCGCACGGAACGCAAUCGACACAGCGGGUGGAGGAGGGGAGCGGAUCGCUGGGAGAGGCACGGGAAAUCACUUUCCACGUGAUGCGGGUUAAAACAUCGCAUCCAUAUGAAUGAGGUGGAAAUUAGGUGGGAUUGACCCCGGCGGUACAGUCGGAAAAUCUGAGUCAAGUGUGCUCGCAGCAGCAUGAGUGGUAUAAACCGCCGUCUGGCGAGGGUGACGGUAGGCCAGCUUUGUACCCUCACGUGAUUGAAUGGUUUGAAGAAUGGGCGCACUGUACAGCGGCUUCUAGGUAGAUGAUAGUGGGCGAUUUACUAGCAGCAUUUAAAGUAGAAGU